rnacentral:rRNA from 1 species
UACGGGAGGCAGCAGUGGGGAAUAUUGGACAAUGGGCGCAAGCCUGAUCCAGCCAUGCCGCGUGAGUGAUGAAGGCUUUAGGGUUGUAAAGCUCUUUUGUCCGGGACGAUAAUGACGGUACCGGAAGAAUAAGCCCCGGCUAACUUCGUGCCAGCAGCCGCGGUAAUACGAAGGGGGCUAGCGUUGCUCGGAAUCACUGGGCGUAAAGGGCGCGUAGGCGGCCAUUUAAGUCGGGGGUGAAAGCCUGUGGCUCAACCACAGAAUUGCCUUCGAUACUGGAUGGCUUUGAGUUCGGUAGAGGUUGGUGGAACUGCGAGUGUAGAGGUGAAAUUCGUAGAUAUUCGCAAGACACCGGUGGCGAAGGCGGCCAACUGGACCGACACUGACGCUGAGGCGCGAAAGCGUGGGGAGCAAACAGGGAUUAGAUACC